CGCACACACCACAUCCAAGAGGGUCACUGGCCCACCACGCCAGCCUCUCUACUGCCCUCAUGGUGGUCUCCCAGCCGCCCCCUCCUGAACACUGCCCUGUCAGCCACCCGCCGCUCCUCCUAGAACUGCCCCUCCCUACCCCACCGUGACGGUCACUUCGCUGCUGAUGACCCCGCCAUCACUUCCCUAUGACUGCCACAGGGAUCACCUGGUGGACCCCCAAACCUCCAAUACUGCCGCCCUGGCCAACCCCUUACCACCACCACGAACAGCCGACUUCCUACCCCCCCUACCAUGGCGGCCAUACCGCAGGGGACACUUCACCCUGAGGACCCCUCCUUCUCACCACUGUGGCCGCUCUGCUACCUCCCAGACAGCACGGUCACCCCGUCUUUUGCACUUCGGAACCCCACCGACCCCACCCCGCCCCAUCUCCCUGCCAUUCGCACCACCGCAGCCAUGGACAUGGCCUCAGAUCUCUCAAGGACAAAGGGCCAGUUCAGAAACGAUCUGACGUGAGAGGACAGAUCUCCCACAGGAGACGGAGAGGGCACCGUCCAGGGAGGUACAACGGACCCUCAGACCCGCAAGGUGCCUCCUUGUUCUCCGGAACAAAGACUUCAGAGCCCGGGUUCCGAGUAUAUACAACGCGGCAAGUUCCGCAAACGUGGAACACUGAACGAACAAAGCAACUAUUCCCCCAGGUUGUCUGUAAGGGCAGAUGGACACACAGCUGACCUGGCCCGCUCCAUCGCGCUGUCAGCCGCUCCUCAGAACAGACAGUCACGCAUCUCCGGCGACCACUCCACUCUGCGCCCAAGUCACUGCGCCAAAGCCAACCAGUCACGCCAGCUCUACCUGCGCAUGCGCAGCAAGACGCCCCUCCUGCAGGCUGCGCAAGCGCAACAGCUUGCCGCAGUGCUGAGGUCCUGCCGCAGUGCGGGCAGGCCAGUACCUCUGCUAGCAGGAGUAGUUGGAUUCUGAGUAGCCAGAGAGUUAGCACCUGGAGAAUGAGACCUCAGGGACUGCACCACCACCUUCGGCUUAAAGGCAAAGUCUCUCUCUCCCCUUUUUAAUAUGUGUAAAAUGUUGAGAUAAAUCUUCGCAGGCACCGUGAGCCAAACAAUCCUGGUAAUAAUCACCUUCGUGUCUUCCUGUAGACCGUGUCAGAAAUGCUGAUUCGGAAAAGUUAAUUGAUGCAAAAGCACAGUCCAUGCAAUAUUGCCAGAUAAUCAAAGCCCAGUCUAGAAGAAAAUCUCUUUUAAAAAAUACAUUGUUUGAACUUUGUUGGGUUUCUUUUCCCCUUUUUCUGCUUUCUACAAUUUUUUUUGCAAGUUGUGAAAAAAAAGAUGACAAAACAAUUAUGAUACAAUUAAAUUCUCCAAUACAGAAUGGGUUCCCUUCCCCCAGUCUGAGGAACAGCAUUCUUGAAAAUCCCAAAAUCAGCUCCAGAAGAGGCUGAGCAGGGAAAGGAAGUACCUACUCCCCUUGAUAAUACUCCAGCAAGUCACAAGAAACAACAACAACAAAAGAUACUCUUCCAGCAGCAGCUCUUGCACACAUCCUCACGGUAUCCAGGCUUUGGGCAAGAACACACUACUUGGUCAGCAAAGGACACCAAAUCUUACCUACUGCCUGUCCAUUUUAGACUGGUUGCUGACAUGAAAAGUAUCACAUGUACCCUGACCUCCUGUUCACUAUUCCACAGGAAAAGAAUUGUUGGAGCCAGCUUGGGAAAAAAUGCACAUUCGGCUUUUAUAGGAAACUGUGGGGCAGCACCAUGGAAGGUUGUCUGGGCCUUGGCCAAGGCCCUGGGCUUCUGUUACCCAAGGUUCAGGCAGACAAGCUGCUAACUUCAUGAGGGGACACCCACCUGACAGGGUCCCUGCAGCUUCUCUGAGCCAAGGUAACCUCAGGCCCUGGGUACUUGUAAGUAUUCCUCAUCCCCCUAGGCCAAACCCCUUUCACUUUCCAGAAAACUGCUUGCAUUUUCUGUGACAUUUUUAAAAAUUUGACAUUAAACCUAUGAUACCUGCAUUGUGCUCCUCUGGUUUGUCAACCAAUGGGAAAGAAGGAGAACAGAAGAUGAAAAGGGAGGAGAAAAGAAAGGAGGAGAGAAGACAAAACAGGGAAGACUCAGGGAAAGAGUGUUCUCAGUGUGGAAGAAUAUCAUGCAGAUAGGGAAUGGAGGAAGGCAAACCAAAACUGUGUAACCAGAUUGGGAUUGAAAGUAUCAUUAUAAAUACAUGGAAAAGAUACAUGCUCACACAGUUUUAAAUAUCUAUAUAUCUGUACACAGAUCUUCACCAACUUAUUUUGGGGUUAUGUCCUGAUAAAACUGAGUUGAAAAUAUUGUAAUCAAAAAUGUUUAACACACAUAACCUACCAAACAUCAUAGCUUAAUCUAGCCUAACUUAGACAUGUUUAGAACACUUAUAUUAGCCUAUAGUUGGACAAAAUGCAGUAGAUGACUAUUGUAUAAUAAAGUGUUGAAUAUCUAAUGUAAUUUAUUGAAAGUGUAAAACAGAAUGGUUGCAUGGCUACCUGGUAGCUGUGGCUCUCUGUCCAGCAUCGUGGGAGAAUAUCACACAUACAUGAUCAAUAUCAUGAUGUAUCAUCAUCCUGAGAAAAUAGUAAAAAUUAAAAUUUGAAAUAUUGCUCUCUCAUAUUCUGGCUUCCAAAUGACCAAGACAAGAAGGAAUGAUGGUGUGCCAAAAAGGGCCACAUGCAGCCCAUUCACUGCACCAUCUGCAAUCAUUGUGUGUCUGAGGACAGCACAAUUGAGAAGUUCUUAAUGGGAACACCGCCAGCAGGAACAUUUCCAAAGCAAGUGUCUUUGAUGUCUCUGUGCUUCCCAAGCUGUGUGUGAAAGUCCAUUACUAUGUGAACUGUGCCAUUCACAGAAAGGUGGCCAGGAAUUGUGCUGGUGAAGCACAGAAGGACUAAACACCUCACUCUGAUUUAAUCCAUGGGUGCUGUCCCACCACCUCCACCAAAGGCCAUGUAAAGGGCUAAAUCCUUAAUCAUUGAAGAAAA